rnacentral:lncRNA from 1 species
UGGUAUCUUACGGCUGAGUUUGGCGGAGACACGGAAGUCUCGAUACUGCAAUUUAUGUUUUCCGGAUGACUACCACCACCUUAAUCUCCUCUGUUCUCUCUUCCUCUAUCUUCCCUACCGAAUAUCGCAGCUGGGUUCGAAUUCCGGCGACUUCAAUUCCCGGAGGUAGCAAUGUCCGCGUAGUGAAACAACGUCGUUUGAAAAUUAUCGCCAAAUCACUUGACCUUCCUCUUCUUCCGUUCAGUAUGAGCGAGGUUAGAAUCAUAAACCCUAAUAUUACAGCAAAUAUAAAUUUAAGUUCUUGCUUUUAACAUAUGGUUACAGGUUCUUGUACCAACGGAGAGUAAAACAUUGCAUUUGUACGAAGCAAGAUACUUGGCACUACUUGAAGAGGUAAUAAAUCUAUAAUUCCAAAAUUAUUUUAUGGAUUCACUUUUGAAAUUAAUCUAAUUACUUGGUCCGUGCAGUCGAUGAAAAGAAAAAAGAAUAUGUUUGUUCAUUUCAUUCUCGAUCCUAUUUCGAUUAGUGAGAAAGCAACAGAAGCAUCCUUUGCUGCUCGAUAUGGCUGCUUGGUACUUAUUGAAAAUGUAAGCUUCUUCUCAUGAGACUUUGAUCUUUGAUGAGUCCAUAAAAUGUAAGCUAAAAACCAUAUAUUACAGGUCGAGAGAUUAGACAUUGGAGCACUUGUCUCCAUAAGAGGUGCUGGUCGUGUGAAGAUUUCCAGAUUUUUAGGGGUAAGAAUGCAAAAUAAAAAUUAAUCAUUUUGUUAAACAUUGCAAUGUGAGUUAUGAUGUUCUUUCUCUUUGCACAAAAAACAAAUGACUAUAUGAUUUUUUUUUUGUCUCAGGCAGAUCCUUAUUUGUCCGGAGAGGUCAGACCAAUACAAGAUCGUUUUAAUUAUGAGAGCAGCAAUGAAAUAACCUCAGAAAUCUCCAACCUAAAGGAAUCUAUCAAGAAUCUCAAUAGCUUGGAGAUCAAACUUAAGGUACAACAAACCUACUUAAUGUAUCAUCCGGUCCCCUUAGAGGCCUGUAAUGUUCUUAUUAGUUGUAGUGUUGGCUUACCUCCUUUUACAACAGGCUCCAGAAGACUCGCUACUACAAACUCGUCUCCUUAACUCUUUGAAGUGGGCUGAAGAUGAGCCACCGGAAGAAUGUGAAGAAUCCUUCUUUCCUUCCCUUCAAGAACGUUUAUCAUUCGCUGCGCUUCAACCGGUUUCCGGUAACUCUUACAUUUUUUCUCUCUUGUGAUUUCAAGAGUCAAGAAGGUGUUCUGUUUAAAACUAUUAAAUUACGGCUCUGGGAGUUUCCUUUAGUAUAGCUUUUCGGGUUUUCUUGUUUUGCAGGAUCGACGCAGUCAGAACUAUCAAGGUUACAACAAGAGAAAUUAAAGGCAAUGGAUAUAAAAGAUACAAUGGAGAGGUUAAAACUUUCAAUGGGACUCAUCAAGGAGAACAUUUCUUCAAUUGCAGCCAAAAUCGCCAUCCAGUCUUUAGAUAUUCGUUAGACUUUAUAAUAUUUCUCUAAUUGUAAAUGUGCCAGAUUGAUGAGCAUUAAAUUUAAAUUGAGUUUAUUACCUUCACACUUCUUUUUUCAAUGUAAUUUUAUACAUUUAAUAUUUAAAACACUUUAUAAGAGCUUAAAGUCACACCCGACAGCCGAUGGAUAGUGCCUAUAUCACUACCUUUACUUGGGAAGUACCAAGCCUCGUUUGUCAAUACAACUUUGACACGACAAAUCGCAAACGCACGAAGAUAGAUCAAUCUUCGGCCAAAAACGCCCCAAGGAAAGACGAUUUAACAUCGUCUGCCGACGAAAACGCCUCGGACGUCGAAACUCAACACGAGUCCGAAGUCGACGCUACAACUCAACCAGAACAUCCGGAAAAGAGCAUUGACCCGACCACGAUCGUCAUGAUCAAGGCGGUCAGCACGACGACAACCGCCGAGUAAAAAACGCUCGCAGCAUGAAACAGAACUACGAGAUGGCUUGAUCCUCGAAAGAGGUACGUAGGCAGUUUGUCAAAAGACGAGUUCAGCUAUCCCCCUCUUGCAAUAUCCCAUAGGUACGACAAAUUCAAGCCUACCAAAAUAACUUUGGUUCUUGCUGAUAGAUCCGUUAGAGUACCUGAGGGAAUACUUGGCGACGUGCCAAUAAAGAUUAACGACUGUCACAUACCAACGGAUUUCGUUGUGCUGAAAUACCCGAAUGAACCGAAAGAUCCCCUCAUUUUGGGUAGACCAUUUCUAGCUACAGCUGGUGCGAUCAUCGAUGUCAUGGAAGGAAGAAUAUGUCAAAACAUCGGAAAAAUUCCGAUGACCUUCGACAUGCAUAAGCUGAUAAGACAACCUUUAAUAGAUAAACAGACUUCCUACAUGGACUGUGGGAACCGAAAUUCACACAGUCGAUUUCCGAAAUUGGAAGAAAGUUAGGAAAUCCUAACUUCUCCUGAGGUCCCAGAUUCUCUGUGAGAGCCAACGACAAGUAACCAAAUAAAUGCGGAAAAUAUGAAAAGAUAACAAAACAAAUUUAUAGAAAAGGUAGAUCUUAUUUUGAAUCCGCCUAAGAGCGUUGGGAUCUUUACACCUCUCGCCUAGGACUCCUUAUAUACUCGCUCCUAGGUCGGUUUACGCUUUUCCUCUUCUGCUCUUAAGCCGUCAUAGCAUAAAAGUGGAGAUAUUCUAUUUUUUCCGAUGUUCGUAAUUAUCUUCAAAUUUUCGUAUUUAUCCGCGGAAACUUGACAUUUAUCUUUUCUUGCGAACCAAGCAUAAACUGUCAUGCGGCUUAUAGGCUGUUGAUUAAGAAAUUGUAAGUUGGGCCUCGAGUUAUGCCUUAGGUCCCUUUAGGCCGUCUUCUAACUCGAAGCGUUUAUUACGGCUUCUUUUGAUAAAGAACGAACUUUCCACGGUUUUUACCGCAAAGUUUGAUUGAUGACUAAGAAUGGCAGAAAACAUGAAAUGGGUUCGCUACGGUCUUCGGGAGAUAGCAUCGAAGGAUAGACGAGAAUGCAUGGACUAGUGUCGUAUCGACGUUUCGGAAGGGCUCGGUCGCUACGUAGCGACCGAGCAGUGUGCAUGUUCGGUCGUUGCGUAGUGAAUGAGCUUGGCUUGUCCGUGUUUCGAUCAUCGCACUCGAACCUAUCCGUGGCUGGUUUAGAUACGUUUCCGUUAUCUUUGGACAGCUUGUGUUUGAUCCAACCGGGACUUUAACGAGAUUUUAUCUCGAGAUCAUUGCGCCGUGAUAUAAUCUGUCGCGGAAAGAGAUUCACGCUUGUUUUUGCGGAAGUUUGGAUAUUAACUUCUUCGUAACCGUUUUUGACUCCAACAUAGUUAUUCGCCUAGCGCGGAUUAAUUCCUAGUAUUAAUCAAUUUGGGAAAAAAAAUUGAAUAGUAAAUUUCCAGUUACAACAAGACCGGAAAUUGUUAGUGGCCCCCCACCAUCUAAUCUUCUAAACACAUGGUAUCUUACGGCUGAGUUUGGCGGAGACACGGAAGUCUCGAUACUGCAAUUUAUGUUUUCCGGAUGACUACCACCACCUUAAUCUCCUCUGUUCUCUCUUCCUCUAUCUUCCCUACCGAAUAUCGCAGCUGGGUUCGAAUUCCGGCGACUUCAAUUCCCGGAGGUAGCAAUGUCCGCGUAGUGAAACAACGUCGUUUGAAAA